rnacentral:misc_RNA from 1 species
CUAACCCCCUAAUAUCUAGAAUAUUUGGCUUCGUUUUCCUUCACUUUCUUGUUGAUUUUUCCAUUAGGCCAUAUAAUAUGGGUUCAUUAUCGUCACCGUGUUCUUCGGUUUCUCCUGCAAAAUCGUCAAAUGCGGGAGAUUCCUACAUUGGGAGCUUUAUUAGUCUCAUUUCAAAGUCCGAGAUUCGCUACGAGGGCAUCCUCUAUCAUCUUAGCGUUCAAGAUUCCAUUAUUGGCCUCAAGAAUGUAAAGUCUUAUGGAACAGAAGGUCGAAAGAAAGAUGGCCCCCAAAUUUCCUCAAGCGAUAAGGUUUAUGAAUUCAUUCUUUUCCGUGGAAGUGAUAUUAAGGAUUUGCAAGUUAAGACUGCACCACCUGCACAAACUGAAGAACCAAUUCCUGAUGACCCUGCUAUCAUUCAGGUUUUGACUUUUGACUUUAUUUAAGGAAUUGUAACCUUUUGAAGUCUCUGAAUUAUGAGGUCAAAUUCAUGUUUUUAUUUAGAUUCUGGUUUUUGCUAUUUUGUAGUCACACUAUGCAGGGGUUCCUUUAAGUUCUUCAGCUUCAGUUGGUGGUAAAACUUUGGCAGAAUCUGCUCUGGUGCAAGAUAUGCCUGCUUUGACAAGCAGAGGCUAUCCGACUGCACUGACUUCGUUGCAGUCUGUAAACCAUGUUGGUUCAAAAAAUCUUUCCCAGGCUGCUGAAGAUUCUGGUCAAUCAUUUUCUAUGUCUAUGUAUUGGCAAGGAUAUAAUGGAACAUCAAUCAAUAGGUCUAAUACUUCCCAGCACUCUAUUCCUUUUCAACCCCCAUCCAUGGUUUCAUCUUCCUUGUCAGCACAGAAUCAGAUGCCUGCUGCAGCAUUGACUGAUUCUCCAAUAAUGGGAUUAACAAAUGCAUCAGAAUUUGCUACUCCUGUACCAUCUGUUGCCUCUAAUAAUUCAACUUUUAGUCCUGUACAAUAUUCUCUUUCUCAUGAUAUGCCAUCCUUCUCAUCUGUAAAAACGUCCCUACCAUCGCUUACUUCAUAUACUAAUAUUAAUAGGCAAACGGUAUCUUCAGUUCCAUACUCUAGUGAAGAUACAGGUCUCACUAAUGUUCAAAAUGUUAGUAAAGCUGUUUCUGACCCUAAAACAGUAUACACUGCCCAAUCUAUGCCUUACCCUAUAUCUUCUUAUGAGGCUUCUACUUCAAGCCCCUUGUUAACACCAGCUCCAUCUCUCUUAAGUCCUGAUCAAUUAGCACAGUCUAGAUCACAUGUGCUUUCUUCCAUGGUGUACCCUGAUCAGAAGAAUACGGAUCCUCUGACUCCUUUAUCAUCUACGUCACUGUCCUUUGUUCCUUCUCCAGCUUCUCAAGAACCAUUAUUGCCAUUGCCAAGUACUGUACAGAAGUUCACUGAAGAAUUUGAUUUUGAAGCCAUGAAUGAGAAGUUUAAAAAGGAUGAAGUUUGGGGUUAUCUUGGAAAGGCAAAUCGGGGAGAUAACACAGUGGGCACAGAGGACAACCAAGGCUUCGAGGACAAAGAGGUUCCUCGCCUGGUGCCUCAUUUUGAUGCUAAGCCUGCAUACAAGAAAGAUGAAUUCUUUGACACAAUUUCUUGUAAUACACUCAGCCAGGGAAGGAAUGGUCAGAACCGAUUCUCUAACCGAAUGACGCUAGAUAAUGAGACUUUUGGUUGGCGCAAUCAGAGACCUAAUCCUGGCUAUGGUGGAUGGGGUGCUGGACGUGGCUAUUACUAUCAUGGUAGACAUAAUGGGGGAAGGGGAUAUGGUUAUGGUGGGAGGGGGAAUGGGAACUUGCCUUUCUGAUGCAGCCCUUUCAAACCACCACCACACUCCUGCCCUCCCUUCUCAAGAGAUCCAUUUGUUUUUGUACAUCAUGGUCCACCUUUCAUUUCAGCUUGCCUUAUUUUUGAUAUUUUGCGUCGGAAGGAUUUAUCCUCAAGGUAAUAUGAUAACUACAUGAGGUAUCUAUAUCUGGUGAUUUUAAUGUUGAGAUACCUGGUAGGAACCAUUAAAUUGAACAAUUUGGCAAGUUCAUGUUUUUUUGGGUAAUGGGCUGCCUUUUCACUUUUAUUGUUAGAAGGAACAAUGCAAUUAGGUUUUCCAAUCGAUCUAUAUCUUGAACUCCUUUUCUACUUAGGUAUGCAUAUUUGUGCUCUGUAAAUUAUGGGCAGACAUUGUAUUGAUUUAGUGUUCUGGAAAUAUGCUAAGGUGGCGUUGGGAUGCCCCAUAUUAAUGAAAACAUUAUUAAAUUCAGCUGAUUAAUUUGAAUCAGUUUCGCUUUUCA